rnacentral:rRNA from 1 species
GACGAACGCUGGCGGCGUGCUUAACACAUGCAAGUCGAACGGAAAGGCCCUGCUUUUGUGGGGUGCUCGAGUGGCGAACGGGUGAGUAACACGUGAGUAACCUGCCCUUGACUUUGGGAUAACUUCAGGAAACUGGGGCUAAUACCGGAUAGGAGCUCCUGCUGCAUGGUGGGGGUUGGAAAGUUUCGGCGGUUGGGGAUGGACUCGCGGCUUAUCAGCUUGUUGGUGGGGUAGUGGCUUACCAAGGCUUUGACGGGUAGCCGGCCUGAGAGGGUGACCGGCCACAUUGGGACUGAGAUACGGCCCAGACUCCUACGGGAGGCAGCAGUGGGGAAUAUGGCACAAUGGGCGGAAGCCUGAUGCAGCAACGCCGCGUGCGGGAUGACGGGCUUCGGGUUGUAAACCGCUUUCGCCUGUGACGAAGCGUGAGUGACGGUAAUGGAUAAGGAAGCACCGGCUAACUACGUG